GGGUCAGUAGGUUGGUCGUGCCACCGGUACGUACUGGUCUCACUGAUUCCUCCUUCCUGAAGAACCGUAAUGCCAUUAAUUUGGUGUUGCGGGGAAACAGGACCGUUACUUUGAAAAAAUGAGAGUGUUUAAAGCAAGCUAACGCUUGAAUACAUUAGCAUGGAAUAAUGAAAUAGGACGAUCGAUCCUAUUUUGUUAGUUUCUAGGAUUGACGUA
rnacentral:rRNA from 1 species